rnacentral:lncRNA from 1 species
UUUGAUCAUAAUUCAUAACAACCGGCAAUAUCUGUAGCUCUUUUUUUUUCUAUUGUUAUGUUUUACAACCGGCUGAUCUCAUGUCGAUGCCUUCAACUAGGAGGAAAAAAAAUUGUCAGGAAUUAAGUCCUCCUAAUGCACUCAAAAAUCAGCUUUUUCCGGAGGGAGAAGGGGAAAAAAUCUUCCUCGAAGCGUCAAAAUCGCAGCUUGAGCUUCCUUUUGACCCAGAUGAGCAUAUAUUGACACUGUGACAAUAGAACGAACACAUUACAAACAACAAUUUUUCCUCUACUCCACGAGCUCCCACAAACUGCAAUGCUAAAAUUGCCGUCCAUUCUACAGAGUAAUCGCCGGUUUGUCCCAAAAUUUCAAAUAAAAAAAGGAAGAAAAUUCAUGCACACGACCGCUACCGAGCAAAGCGACGUGCUCCAAUGUUCUCAUCGGAUGACUAAUCGAUUAGCAACAUAAAAAGAUGAGGGAUAAAAGGAGGAAUUUCUUGACAGACCAAAGAGGAGGAAGCAGGACCUUCUUCUCCAUGGACUGCACGAAGUACUCCACCGGCACCAUGAAUCACUGCUGCUCUUCCUCCCCUUCUAUCCCAACCUUUGUUCCCACGAACCCUUUGGGCGGCUUUUACUGUAGCUCUGCGGACUGCGGUGGGCUUUUCUUUGAGCUGGCCCUGUG